CACGUAGGGUGCGAGCGUUGUCCGGAAUCAUUGGGCGUAAAGAGCGCGUAGGCGGCCCUGUAAGUCCGCUGUGAAAGUCAAGGGCUCAACCCUUGGAUGCCGGUGGAUACUGCAGGGCUAGAGUCCGGAAGAGGCGAGUGGAAUUCCUGGUGUAGCGGUGAAAUGCGCAGAUAUCAGGAGGAACACCGAUGGCGAAGGCAGCUCGCUGGGACGGUACUGACGCUGAGGCGCGAAAGCGUGGGGAGCGAACAGG
rnacentral:rRNA from 1 species